rnacentral:lncRNA from 1 species
GCAGAACCUAGUAUCCCUACGCACAGUUUCUCAUGUGGUCUUCAAAUCUCCACAUCUGCAUGCAUAAAAAUGCCACAAUAACCACAAGUAGCAUUACUGUUUUAUGCUUACAUGGUCAGACCAUGUCUUAGGAGACACAACAGGUUGUAGUAAUGCUUCAACAAGAGAGUGUUAAAGCACUCUUCUUCUGUGUUGUUCACAAAGCUUUUUGCUAUAUCGAUGAUGAAGCUUUAGGACUUCAUUCAGUCCUAAACCAAAGAAGAAGAUGGCUGGCUGGAGGAAGGGAGGUCUGUGGCUUGCAUUCUACAGGUUGAGAGAAAAAAUAAUUAUAGCAGCUGCCUCUUCGAGCCCUAAAACCCAGGGUAGAAAAUACAUAUAGUGUUGUUCUUUUGGGUUGUUUUGUUUUGUUGUUGUUGUGGUGUUGUUUUUUCCUACUCCCCAAGCUUGAUGGAAAGCAAUAGAAAAAUUUGCUCUUUCUGUUAUGUAGAAGGAGUGGAAUGAUUUUUGCUGAUCCAGUUGUUUCAGUGACAAUGCACCUGGACCAUCCCAGCACCUGAAGGAGAGGUGUGAUUGCUUCUGCCAGUAGAGUUCUCCAUGAAUUUCUGAUACAGGUGAUUUAAUGGAAGAAGGUCGGUAAUUCUGGCAUGCAGCCUUAGAGGUACUUGAAUAUGUGUUGUCUUGAAAACAGAGACGCGUAUGAAGCUGUUGUCUGUCCCUCCUCUUUAACAGCACAAAGCCUGGAUGCUGCUCUGCUCCCAAAGCCUGCUCCAGGGAGGCUGCACUGCAGUGAAGAAGAAGAUGUUUUUUGUUGGAACAUAACACCAUCUACCAGUUGUCAAGGAAAAGCAAUGACUUUGAAUGCAGUAGCUCAAUUCAAGACAACUGUCCUGACAGCUAGAGCCAGAAAAAUACAUCUUGGUGAAGGAUGGGCAGUUUUGCCGGUCUUACACAGAGUGUGAUUCUGAUCCUUUUGUUCAGCAAUAUAGGACAUCCCGUGGAAGAGCUGUGAAAAUUAUUCCUUCCUCUUCUGAAAAAAAUAAAAUUGUUACUUAAAAAUAUAGACUGACUCA